rnacentral:rRNA from 1 species
UAGGGAAUCUUCCGCAAUGGACGAAAGUCUGACGGAGCAACGCCGCGUGAGUGAGGAAGGUCUUCGGAUCGUAAAGCUCUGUUGCCAGGGAAGAAUAAGCACGGGAGCAACUGCCCGUGUGAUGACGGUACCUGAGAAGAAAGCCCCGGCUAACUACGUGCCAGCAGCCGCGGUAAUACGUAGGGGGCAAGCGUUGUCCGGAAUUAUUGGGCGUAAAGCGCGCGCAGGCGGUUGUUUAAGUCGGGUGUAUAAACCCAGGGCUCAACUCUGGGACGCAUCGGAAACUGGGCGACUGGAGUGCAGAAGAGGAGAGUGGAAUUCCACGUGUAGCGGUGAAAUGCGUAGAGAUGUGGAGGAACACCAGUGGCGAAGGCGACUCUCUGGUCUGUCACUGACGCUGAGGCGCGAAAGCGUGGGGAGCAAACA